AGGGGACGUCCCCCGGACGUCGCGAACGUCCUCUUAGGUCCGCAUAAGGUCCUCAAUUGGUCCGCAUUGUAACGUUCGCUGGCGGACCUUCCGGGGACGUCCGCAUAUGGUCCGCUAAAUAACGUUCGCUGGCGGACCUUCCGGGGACGUCCGCAUAAGGUCCGCUAAAUAACGUUCGCUGGCGGACCUUCCGGGAACGUCCGCAUAUGGUCCGCUAAAUAACGUUCGCUGGCGGACAUUCCGGGGACGUCCGCACAAAGUCCGCUAAAAACCGUUUUCUGGCGGACCUUCUGGUGACGUCCGCAUAUGGUCCGCUAGACAACGUUCGCUGGCGGACCUUCCGGGGACGUGAAACCACUCGAAGCUUUAAUAUAAACCCAUACACAUUUAACCAUAAGAGUUACCCUUUUAUGCAACAUCAAAGUAAAAAUGCUGUUUUUGCUAUGGCUUUACUAAUGAAAAUCGUAAUUUAUAGUAUCUAAUAUUAAGAAUUUCUUAAUUUAUAAACUACUUAGUAUGCUUUACUGACUAUAUUACAUAGAUUCCAUUAAAGCUGCUUACAAUUGUUCUAUAAUUUUAUUGCAUUUAAAGUAAAUGAAAGAUCUGGCACCUUUGUCUUUUUUAGUAAAUGAUUUUCUCCACUAUUCCUAACACAUAACUAUGGUCAAUAAAUCGAAAUCACAAUGCACAUAUUCAUGUAAUAGUUAAAGAAUCCACCAUUGUGAAGUUACAUAUCACUCAAUUAAAUAUAAAUGAAGUGCAAAGACUUGUUUAUUUUUAUUAAUAUGACACAUACAUUAAUAUGAGUGUUGUGUGGUUCUUCAAGCGUUGUCUUUCUCAUAUAUGAAGCACUGCAUGAUAAAUAAUUGUAAAAAUCUAUAUAAAUACAUUAUAUCAAGGAAAAACAAAUUUAAAUCUACAACUACAGUUCAAAUGUAAAACUUUUUGCAUAGUUAUUAUUGCGAAGGAUUCAAAAUGCAAGCAAAGCAAUGCAAACAGAAAUGUAGAAUGACAGUCGCUCAAUCUGUUGCAAGCAAUGACUUUCAAACAGCAAGUGCUAAAGAAGCCAAACACGCAGAAUUACAAGUCCAACGCUGAAACUGCUGGAAAAGAACAGUGAAAAAGAUACAGCUUUUAAACAUCUAAACAUGUCCUCCAAAAAGGUUUCCUGUGCUGUUUUGCUCCAUUUUACUGAACAAAAUAAGGCUGAGGUAGCACCAUCCUUGUGGUUAGAGUGAAAGAAUGUGGGUAUUGAGACCAAAAUAAACAAUGUGCCAUUCUGGACAAACAGCUGUGGACAAUAUGCAGUCAGAGUAGCCCAUUUUCUCACACAGACCUGAGGAUAAGAUUUCCAGUUUGAAAGUGAAGAAAAUGAAUCAUUAUUAACAGCAAAUAGGAGUAUUUCUCAGCUGAAAAGCCAGAUUUUUUUCCCUGUGUUUUUUUUGUUAGAUGAGGAGCAACCAGUAAGAAAAAGCAAAAAGAUGUUUUGAUGUUGCCUGAGGCACCUUAUUUUCCAUUUCAUGCACAAUCACAAAUGCAGCACAUCAAUCAAUUUCUUCCAACCAGCGAAUCAAGAAAUCUUGGAGUGGAGAAUCAUUCUGAAAGUAGACCAAAUCCAGGACAACAUCACAACAGUGGUCGGAAAAAUGCAGCAAGCCAAGCUGACUUUCAAAAGAUGAUUCGUUAUCUGUUUCUUCAGAGGGGAGGCAGUUUGGGAGAUGGGAAUUAGGAGGAUGCUACAGUUACACAGGGCAAAUUUCAGCAGCUCAGUUUCAAACUUGCAACUAACAUUGAGUUAAAGUUAGAAGACCACGGAAAUAUUUGACAUCGGAGUCCAGCAGACAGCCAGAGACACGCACACACACGCAGCUGAAGCGCGUUUGACUGACGCGUACGGGAGAUCCGGCACGCGCACGGGAGCUCGCGCACGCUCACACAAACACGGAGCACAGGAUAAUUACAACUGUUUAAUUAAAAUAAAAGAACUUUGUGGUAUACAAUGUUUAGCGUGUCUGAUUUCAUUGGUUAGCAAGGAAAUAAAACGACGUGCUGAGGACUUUAGGCGAACGUCCCCUAAAAGUCCCGAAAGUCCGCUGACCGUCCCGCGAACGUCCUCGCAAAAGUCCGGAGGACGUCCUCGCGGAAGUCCGCUCGACGUAACGGGAACCAUACACGAUGACGUUCGGGGGACGUUCGCCUAAAGUGCUUAGCAUGUUAUUUAGCUUACAAAAAAGGUCCCCAUGACGUCCCCUAAAAGUCAAUAAAGUCCCCAAAGCGUCAUUUUGAACGUCCGGAAGACGUUUUUGCGGACGUUCGCAGGACGUCAAAAGAACCCUACACGAUAACGUCCGGGGGACGUUCGCAGAUGCCA